rnacentral:lncRNA from 1 species
CAAUUUGCCAAGCCAGCUAAAUCAACUAUAACUAAGCAUUUAGCUUUAAUAAGUUAGAUGCCUAAAUACUCAUAUACAUGUUUAUUCAUCAUUUCAUAAGUUACAACUAUAAUAAUAAGCCAAAUCUUCUUAUAUCACAAUUACUUCAAUAAGCCAAGUCACUUGGUAAUACAAACAUACUUACCUAAAUUUCAUAGCAUGGUAUAAAUACAUACCUGAAACUUUUAUUUCAUUUUCACAUUCGGUCUCACACCUAACAUUGCUCGUUGAACUGUUCAGAAUUAAAAAGGAUACGCGGAUAAUCGAAAUGCUCAUACAAUGCCAACGUCCCAGACGUGGUCUUACAUGUGAUCACAAAUCGAC